rnacentral:misc_RNA from 1 species
GAAAUGCGAUACGUAAUGUGAAUUGCAGAAUUCCGUGAAUCAUCGAAUCUUUGAACGCAUAUUGCGCUCGAGGCCUCGGCCAAGAGCACGUCUGUCUCAGCGUCUGCCCACACCCUCAAUCCCCCUGCAAAGGGGAUUGGACCUGGGAGUCUCUCUUUCUGUCCAGGGAGGGAGUCUCCUGAAAGCCAGAGGCCCAACGCGGGAACCGCCUGGUGGGACCCCCCUCCAGGUCGGGGCAUCGGCCGGGUGGGUGGCCUUGCGCCGCAUGCACUGCUGUUGCCCCCAGAGUUCUCUGCACCGACUUGGGGACCUUGCAGGAAUCACAUCCAAUUCGGACCUGAGAUCAGGCGAGACCACCCGCUGAACUUAA